GAAAAAUUAGUUAAUUAAUAAUAUUAAUUUGUCAAAUUAAAGUAACUUACGUAUUUUUCU
rnacentral:tRNA from 1 species